rnacentral:rRNA from 1 species
GUAGCAAUACAUCGGUGGUCCUAGUGGCGCACGGGUGAGUAACACGUGGGUAACCUGCCCUCGAGCUCGGGACACCCUCUCGAAAGGGAGGCUAAUACCGGAUACGUUCCUCGGAUUGCGAAGUCUGAGGAGGAAAGGUGGCGAAAGCUGCCGCUCUUGGAGGGGCUCGCGGCCUAUCAGCUAGUUGGUGAGGUAACGGCUCACCAAGGCUAUGACGGGUAGCUGGUCUGAGAGGACGACCAGCCACACGGGAACUGAGACACGGUCCCGACUCCUACGGGAGGCAGCAGUGGGGAAUUUUCCGCAAUGGGCGAAAGCCUGACGGAGUGACGCCGCGUGGGGGACGAAGGCCUUCGGGUUGUAAACCCCUGUCAGAGGGAAAGAAGGGUGUCGGCGCGAUAACCGCCGGCAUUUGACGGUACCUUCAGAGGAAGCCCCGGCCAACUCUGUGCCAGCAGCCGCGGUAAGACAGAGGGGGCAAGCGUUGCUCGGAAUCACUGGGCGUAAAGGGCGCGUAGGCGGGAUGGCAAGUCAGUCGUGAAAUCUCUCGGCUCAACCGAGAAACGUCGGCUGAUACUGCCGUUCUUGAGGGAUGCAGAGGAGACUGGAAUUCCCGGUGUAGCGGUGAAAUGUGUAGAGAUCGGGAGGAACACCGGUGGCGAAGGCGGGUCUCUGGGCAUCUCCUGACGCUGAGGCGCGAAAGCGUGGGGAGCAAACGGGAUUAGAUACCCCGGUAGUCCACGCUGUAAACGAUGACGACUAGGUGUGGGGUGGUU